UGGAGCGUGUGGUUUAAUUCGAUGCUACACGAAGAACCUUACCAGGGUUUGACAUACAAGUGGUAGGGAUCCGAAAGGUGACCGACCCUUCGGGGAGCUUGUACAGGUGUUGCAUGGCUGUCGUCAGCUCGUGUCGUGAGAUGUUCGGUUAAGUCCGCUAACGAGCGCAACCCUCACUGUGUGUUAUACGUGUCACACGGGACUGCCGGUGUCAAGCCGGAGGAAGGUGGGGAUGACGUCAAGUCAGCAUGGCCUUUAUAUCUUGGGCA
rnacentral:rRNA from 1 species